CCUGUCGAUGGGGUACUAUAUGAGCUUGAUGGUUUGAAGGAGGGACCCAUUAGUCUUGGUCAGUGCCCUGGUGGUCAAGGUGACUUGGAAUGGUUACAAAUGGUGCAACCUGUGAUCCAAGAACGCAUUGAGAGGUACUCCAAAAACGAAAUAAGAUUCAAUCUCAUGGCAAUUAUCAAGAACAGGAAGGAAAUGUACACUGCUGAACUCAAGGAGCUCCAGAAGAAGAGGGAGCGGAUCUUGCAGCAGUUGGCCAGCUUACAGUCAGAGAGAUUGGUGGACAAAAGCAGUUUCGAAACUCUAAACAAAUCACUGUCGGAAGUAAAUGCUGGGAUUGAGGGUGCAACUGAGAAGAUCUUAAUGGAGGAAGAAAAAUUCAAGAAGUGGAGGACUGAGAAUAUUCGUAGGAAGCACAAUUACAUCCCAUUUUUGUUUAACUUCCUUAAGAUUCUUGCAGAAAAGAAGCAAUUGAAACCUCUGAUAGAGAAGGCCAAGC
rnacentral:lncRNA from 1 species